rnacentral:rRNA from 1 species
GUCUUUUUGAAUUAAUUUUAAAGUCUAACCUGCCCACUGAAAAUUUUAAAUGGCCGCAGUAUUCUAACUGUGCAAAGGUAGCAUAAUCAUUAGUCUUUUAAUUGAAGGCUGGAAUGAAUGGUUGGACGAAAUAUUAACUGUUUCAUUUAAAUUUUUUAUAGAAUUUUAUUUUUUAGUCAAAAAGCUAAAAUAAAUUUAAAAGACGAGAAGACCCUAUAAAUCUUUAUAUUUUAUUUAUUUUAAUUCUAAAGAUUAUUUUUAUUAUGAUAAAUUAAAAUAUUUUAUUGGGGUGAUAUUAAAAUUUAAAAAACUUUUAAUUUUAAAAACCAUUAAUUUAUGAAUAAUUGAUCCAUUAAUAAUGAUUAAAAAUUUAAGUUACUUUAGGGAUAACAGCGUAAUUUUUUUGGAGAGUUCAUAUCGAUAAAAAAGAUUGCGACCUCGAUGUUGGAUUAAGAUAUAAUUUUGGGUGUAGCCGUUCAAAUUUUAAGUCUGUUCGACUUUUAAAUUCUU